rnacentral:tRNA from 2 species
CAUUGGAUGGCUGAAAGUAAGCACUGGUCUCUUAAACCAUAAUAUAGUAAAUUAACACCCUACUUCCAAUGA